CUAGAGUGGCGAGGCCGUGGUGUUCGGGAAGCCGGUGACGGACCUUGUGGUCCCAGUCCGGAGCGGCCCUCGCCACUGUGAUCGGGGAGUUUCCACCCCUUCCGCGGGCGCCUGGCGCGCCCGCGGCGCCACUGACCGCAGCCCGCGGCCGGGAAGGCGGGGGCGGAAGCGGGCACCCUCUCCCAAGCUGUAAAGGAGCAGGGUGGCACCCCUAAGCCAGGAGACCGGCCACGGCAUCUCACGAACU
rnacentral:ncRNA from 2 species